AAUCACCAUUAUUACCCAGACAGGGGAGACUUCUCAAGAACACUUUUUACUAAAGCAAACACAGGGCCAUGAUAUUGCAUGGCAAGUUCACAUCAGAUACAUUAAGGACAGAGAUCUUACAGAGAAAAACGAUAUACUGAAAGUAAAAGGUCCAGUCCGAAGGCCACACUUUCAACUUCAAGACAAAGAUGAGUGGCUCCUCGCAAACGUCAACUGCGCUGGCUUUUUCCGUGUCAACUACGAUGAAGAAAACUGGAAUAAGCUUCGUAUGCAACUUGAAAGAUAUCAUCAUGUGAGUAUCUUUAAAGAAAUAUUAGUAUCCCUUCAAAUCAAAUAUUGAA